AUGAAGGUCGUCACUUUCAACUGUCGGGGGCUUGGGAACUAGCCGGCAGUCGAGGGCCUUCUGGAGCUACAGAAGGCUGAAGACCCUGACAUCCUCUUUCUUUCAGAAACAAAGCUGGACAGGGAGAGGAUGAAGCGAAUUAAGGUGUUGUUGGGAAUGCCCAACAUGGAGGUAAAGGACUGUGAGGGGCAAAGUGGUGGCUUGGCCCCUCUCUGGAAGAAGGAUGUAAAUGUAAGAGUGAACCCUGGGAUGUCGCGCUACCACAUCGACGCCGACGUCACUGGGGAGGAUGGGUUCGUCUGGAGGCUUACUGGUAUUUAUGGUGAGCCGAAGCAUUGGGAGAAAGAGAAGACUUGGAAACUCUUGCGCAUCCUUCAUGGACGUUCCUCUCUGCCUUGGAUGUGUUUUGGUGACUUCAAUGAGAUCCUCUUCGCAAGUGAGAAGCAGGGGGUCCGGAUAGAUCCCAUGCCUGCAUGGAUAAAUUUCGGAGUGCUCUGGAGUUCUGUGAGCUCGAGGAUUUGGGCUUCGUGGGGGAUCCUUACACUUGGCGCAAUCACAGUCACCGGGCGGACACUUACAUUAAGGAGAGGCUUGAUCGGGCUGUCGCAAACUUGGGAUGGCGCUCCCAUUUUCCGGCCUACAAGGCAAUCAAUGGGGAUCCAAGGCACUCCGAUCAUAGACCCGUGA
rnacentral:rRNA from 1 species